rnacentral:rRNA from 1 species
UUUGAAGCCGAAGGAAGUUUGAGGCAAUAACAGGUCUGUGAUGCCCUUAGACGUUCUGGGCCGCACGCGCGCUACACUGACGGAGCCAGCGAGUCUAACCUUGGCCGAGAGGUCUUGGGUAAUCUUGUGAAACUCCGUCGUGCUGGGGAUAGAGCCUUGUAAUUGUUGCUCUUGAACGAGGAAUUCCUAGUAAGCGCAAGUCAUCAGCUUGCGUUGAUUACGUCCCUGCCCUUUGUACACACCGCCCGUCGCUACUA